CUCUCUCUCUUUUCUUCCUCUACCUUUUCCUCUCUCUACGAAUUUCGUUUUUCUCUCUCUCCCUCUUUCCCCUCGUUGAUCCUGGGGCUUCUGAGAUUUCUCGCUGCGGCUCUUGGAUCCGGGUUCAGCGCUUCAAGGGCUUCGUCUUGACCCUGGUAUCGUUGGAUUUGGCCUCCCUGCGCUCAGAUUAGGGUUUCUACGUCGUGGAAGUUUUUGAGUGCUGGAUGCUCCGCUGAGGUUUUUAUGACUCUUUAAGACAGAAAUUCUAGCAUUAUCUCAGAGAAAAAGUCAGCUGGUUCCUUAUGCAUUUAAGAUGUUAUAGGCUGAACGUUGAUUGGAAAAGACUUCGUCCUAUAAUCCUUAAAAGAAUAAAUAACAGGGUCAAAGACUAUACAUUGAAGAGCAUGACUGCUAUAACAAACGAUGUCCUUGAAUCCUGAAAACUUUUGAUCCAAGGUGUCUCUACUCUUCUCAAAGUAAUCCCAGCGAAAUCUUGCAAGUUAUAUGAUAUCUUUUAAAUCCAUGUCUACAAGUAAUUGUUAUUUAGUUUUUUCUGUAAUAAUAAACACCUACAUAUUUGCUAUAAUAUUCUUGUACAACAUCUCGUAUAAUGAUGCGAUAGUGAGAAAGUGACCAUUGACAUACAUAUCAUUUGAUACUGUUGAUGGGGAUGUAAACAGGCAAACUAUAGGUAUGAUCCAUGCAAUAUCCAUACACAAAACAACACCGGGUCAGAGUCUAUUCUUUUUAAUUGGUUCAUUUGUCUUCUAAUUCUUGAAAGUUAAUGCUAUUUGACAUUGUCAUUUAAUGUAGUGCACAUUCUUAGAUGGAGACUAAACAAC